rnacentral:rRNA from 1 species
UACGUAGGGGGCUAGCGUUGUCCGGAAUCAUUGGGCGUAAAGCGCGCGUAGGCGGCCCGGUAAGUCCGCUGUGAAAGUCCAGGGCUCAACCCUGGAAAGCCGGUGGAUACUGCCGGGCUAGAGUCCGGAAGAGGCGAGUGGAAUUCCUGGUGUAGCGGUGGAAUGCGCAGAUAUCAGGAGGAACACCGAUGGCGAAGGCAGCUCGCUGGGACGGUACUGACGCUGAGACGCGAAAGCGUGGGGAGCAAACAGG